rnacentral:rRNA from 1 species
UACAGAGGGGGCAAGCGUUAUUCGGAAUUAUUGGGCGUAAAGGGCGCGUAGGCGGCCUGGCAAGUGGAAGGUGAAAUCCCUCGGCUUAACCGGGGAACUGCCUGUCAAACUGCAUGGCUUGAGACCGGGAGAGGUGAGUGGAAUUCCCAGUGUAGCGGUGAAAUGCGUAGAUAUUGGGGAGGAACACCAGUGGCGAAGGCGGCUCACUGGACCGGUACUGACGCUGAGGCGCGAAAGCGUGGGUAGCAAACAGG